rnacentral:lncRNA from 1 species
GGGAGACAGCGGGCAGCGCCAGAGGAGGAGGACGCGGGAAGAUGGAGCUGCCCACGGCCUGCAGUCCGUGCCUCUCUGCCCGCGCGGGGACCACACAGUUGGAGAGGCUGCCGGGCACCGGCGCGGGCGAUGCUCAGCAUGGACCUCCGGCCGGUGCGCGCUCCUGCCCUGCCUUGGGGCUGGGGACUCGGCGGGACUCCAGCUACUGCAGUGGCUCCGCGGGCUCCCACCUCCGGGCCGCACCGGCGCCGCCAGAGGCCGGGACACCUGCAGCCCGCGGAGUGCGGUCUGGCCGCGCCUCUGUGCCCGGGCACAGCUGUGGGGACACUGGGUGCGGAAAACCGGGCGCCAGGACGUGGGAGAGCCGCGGACCUGCCUUUAAAGGCGCGUGCCUCGCUCUGGAGUUUGCGGAGCGAUCGGAGACGGGGAGGCUGAGGAGGAAACUCUUCCCCCGCGCCAUUUGCCCCGAGAUGUGGCGGCGCUCCUGGCCCCGCGGUCACGGCCACCCUCAACUGGCCAGGCCGCGGAGGCCGGUGACUGGCUGCUGGGUGCAAUCCCUAGGGAGGUCUCAGGGCUGCGGAUGGGCCUGGGUCUCGGCCGCCACGGGGGUCGAUCGGGCUACUGUGUGGACAGGGUGGCCAAGGAGGCAGCAGGUGUGCGGUCAACAGCCUGGCCAGAAUUCUGCUGUAGCUGGAUGGGGUGUGUGAGCGCGCGGGUGUACAUGUGCCUGGGUGUGCGCGGGUGUACAUCCACACCUGACUGCGUGUGCGCGAGUACACGCUGUGAGCCCAUAGUGUGUCUGGAAUUGGUGGGUUCUUGGUCUCACUGACUUCAAGAAUGAAGCCGCAUACCCUCGCGGUGAGUGGGUACAGCUCUUAAGGUGGUGCGUCUGGAGUUUGUUACUUCUGAUGUUCAGAUGUGUUCGGAGUUUCUUCCUUCUGGUGGGUUCGUGGUCUCGCUGGCUCAGGAUUGAAGCUGCAGACCUAGGCGGUGAGUGUUACAGCUCUUAAGGCAGAGCCUCUGGAGUUGUUCGUUCUUCCCGGUGGGCUCGUGGUCUCGCUGGGCUCAGGAGUGAAGCUGCAGAUCUUCACGGUGAGUGUUACAGCUCAUGAAAGCAGAGUGGACCCAAAGAGUGAGCAGUAGUAAGAUUUAUUGCAAAAAGCAAAAGAACAAAGCUUCCACAGCAUGGAAGGGGACCUGAGCCGGUUGCCACGGCUGGCUGGGGCAGCCUGCUUUUAUUCUCUUAUCUGGCCCUAGCGACAUCCUGCUGAUUGGUAGAGCCGAGUGGCCUGUUUUGUCAGGGCGCUGAUUGGUGCGUUUACAAUCCCUGAGCUAGAUACAAAGGUUCUCCACGUCCCCAUCAGAUUAGUUAGAUACACAGAGUUUCCACACACAGGUUCUCCAAGGCCCCACCAGAGCAGCUAGAUACAGAGUAUCGAUUGGUGCACUCACAAACCUUGAGCUAAACACAGGGUGCUGAUUGGUGUAUUUACAAUC